rnacentral:rRNA from 1 species
UACGUAGGGUGCGAGCGUUAAUCGGAAUUACUGGGCGUAAAGCGUGCGCAGGCGGUUUUUUAAGCCAGAUGUGAAAUCCCCGGGCUUAACCUGGGAACUGCAUUUGGAACUGGAAGACUAGAGUACGGCAGAGGGGGGUGGAAUUCCACGUGUAGCAGUGAAAUGCGUAGAUAUGUGGAGGAACAUCAGUGGCGAAGGCGGCUUCCUGGCUUAAAACUGACACUGUGGCGCGAAAGCGUGGGUAGCAAACAGG